rnacentral:rRNA from 1 species
GAUGAACGCUGGCGGCGUGCCUAAUACAUGCAAGUCGAGCGGAGCGGGGACGGGUGAGUAACCCGUGGAUAACCUCCUAUACGACUGGGAUAACUUCGGGAAACCGGAGCUAAACCGGAUAAUUAUAGAUGUAUCCGCGCUGCAUUAGCUAGUUGGUAAGGUAACGGCUUACCAAGGCAACGAUGCAUAGCCGACCUGAGAGGGUGAGCGGCCACACUGUACAUGAGACACUGUCCAGACUACUACGGGAGGAAGCAGUAGGGAAUCUUCCGAAAGGGGCGAAAGCCUGACGGAGCAACGCCGCGUGAGCGAUGAAGGUCUUCGGCUCGUAAAACUCUGUUAUUAGGGAAGCGGUACCUAAUCAGAUAGCCACGGCUAACUCCGUGCCAGCAGCCGCGGUAAUAC